GACGAACGCUGGCGGCGUGCUUAACACAUGCAAGUCGAGCGGUAAGGCCCCUUCGGGGGUACACGAGCGGCGAACGGGUGAGUAACACGUGAGCAAUCUGCCCUUCACUUUGGGAUAACCACCGGAAACGGUGGCUAAUACCGAAUACGACCACGUCGGGCAUCCGAGGGGGGUGGAAAGUUCCGGCGGUGAAGGAUGAGCUCGCGGCCUAUCAGCUUGUUGGUGGGGUAACGGCCCACCAAGCCAACGACGGGUAGCCGGCCUGAGAGUGUGACCGGCCACACUUGGACUGUGACACGGCCCAGACUCCUACGGGAGGCAGCUGUGGGGAAUAUUGGACAAUGGGCGAAAGCCUGAUCCAGCAACUCCGCGUGAGGGAUGACGGCCUUCGGGUUGUAAACCUCUUUCAGCAGGGACGAAGCGCAAGUUACGUUACCUGCAGAAGAAGCACCUGCCAACUACGUUCCAGCCGCCGCCGUAAAAC
rnacentral:rRNA from 1 species